CGAGUACAAUGACACCCGGGGACGCCCAGACCCGGACGCCCACGAGGCCCUUGGCUGCGGCCACACUGAGCUACGCUGUUCUCUGCAGGAAGCCCUGCGGAGGGGCACGCGGGUCCCGGGAGUGGCCACGGACACUGGGCAGGAACGUCAGUAAAGGUGCUGCAGCUCUUCAAAUGUGGUCCCUAGGACAUCUGUCGUCUCACCCGACCCUCUUAACAAGCCUCCAGGAACCUGUCACCCACCCCCUGCCCCCGGGCCUUGUAAGGAGAGGCGACUGCAGCUCAGAGAAUGCUUGUUCCCAAGGCCACACAGAGCGGAGGAGGCACGUGUGAGGGCCCUCGUCCAGGGCUCCUUAUCCUGAGCAGUAACAGCAGUGCACGAGCCCAGCGACACGGGGACCAGAGGAGGGCAGCAGCCGGAGGGGAGGGACAGGCAAGCGAGAGGUGACUCGGGCCAGGGUCCUGCAGGCCAGAGGGCUGCGACCUCCGGGCGGCCUUCUGCCAGACGUGCCCCUGCAAGUCGACACGGCUGACACAGCCCACGUUCCUCGUCAGCAGUGACAGCAAAGUCAGCACAGCACAGGCUCCAGACGAGAACGUCCCUCGCGGGGCCUCAAAUAACACCCCAGGGUGUCUUAGAGGGGAAACUUCUUGUCUCCCUUAUUUUCAAGUUUUAACUAUUUUUCUUGACACUGAAAAAGAUACAAAUAAAUGGAAAGGUGUUCCGUACUGCUGGGUUACAGGGAUGAAUGUCGUUAAAAUGCCGCCACUACCCAACGCCCCCUGCAGACCCGGUGCAAGUCCAAUGGCACCCUGCACAGGAAGAGAACGAGCCGUCUGCAUUUGCAUGGAACCAGACAGCAAAAGCAAUCGUGAGAAAGAGCGAACCUGGAGGCACCACACGUCCUGAGUUUAAACUAUGUUACUAACCUAUAGUCAUCCAAACAGUGUGGCGCUGGCAGAAAAACAGACACACAGACCAAGGCACCAGAACACAGAGCCCCAGAUAAACCCACAUACACACGUUCUGUUAGCUUACAACAAAGGAGCCAAGAACACACAGUAGAGAAAGGGUGGUCCUUUCGACCCGGCAGACCUCGUUCUAUGGUGCCCCCCUCUAUUGUGCUUUGUACCCCAAUUGUUGCAAAGUAAAGGUUGUGGCAACCUC